AACGAACGCUGGCGGCAUGCCUAACACAUGCAAGUCGAACGAGACCUUCGGGUCUAGUGGCGCACGGGUGCGUAACGCGUGGGAAUCUGCCCUUGGGUUCGGAAUAACAGUUGGAAACGACUGCUAAUACCGGAUGAUGACGUAAGUCCAAAGAUUUAUCGCCCAAGGAUGGGCCCGCGUAGGAUUAGCUAGUUGGUGAGGUAAAGGCUCACCAAGGCGACGAUCCUUAGCUGGUCUGAGAGGAUGAUCAGCCACACUGGGACUGAGACACGGCCCAGACUCCUACGGGAGGCAGCAGUGGGGAAUAUUGGACAAUGGGCGAAAGCCUGAUCCAGCAAUGCCGCGUGAGUGAUGAAGGCCUUAGGGUUGUAAAGCUCUUUUACCCGGGAUGAUAAUGACAGUACCGGGAGAAUAAGCUCCGGCUAACUCCGUG
rnacentral:rRNA from 1 species